rnacentral:misc_RNA from 1 species
CGGUUCGAGUCCGCUUACCUCCACUGAAAACUACCCUGAUAACUAAAUUUCAGGAGAAAAUUUGUAAAUGUGACUUAGAUUUGUCUAUUUGAAAAGAACCUAGCUUCUUAUCAUCUUUUUUUAUAGUUGAUAAUAUGCUGGGCUCCCAUGAAACUAUUUCAUGAGAAUUCAGUA